AUAACUUGGUAAAGUAUAGGGACCAAGGGUGACAAACUUGAAACAAGUUUGUAUUAAAUAAAACAUUCAAACACCAAAACACACACUUUAAGUGUGUGUUCUGGUCGUAAAUUACAAAGGAGCCAGAGAACUCCAUGGCUCAAACCCUAACUAGCAAAAAUCAAGCAAUUGAAGGGGCAAAUCAAGUCCAAAUCAAAAUCCGAAUACGAAUUAGUGAUCUCCAUUGAAAAAGGAGUUACGAGUUUGACGCUUAACGAGCUAGGUGGAGGCUUGAGAAAGAAGCGGUUAAACGAAUCAAGCGCGUGAAGAAAGGCGUAAACCGGAUGAGAGGUAUAAUUUUAGCACCGGAGGACGAUCAAGCACAACGAAGAACCGAACGCGAUCAAGAUAUAAGCUUCCGCACUUUUUAUCG